GACGAACGCUGGCGGCGUGCUUAACACAUGCAAGUCGAACGAAAAGACGGAAAGAGCUUGCUCUUUUCAGAAUUGAGUGGCAAACGGGUGAGUAACACGUAAACAACCUGCCUUCAGGAUGGGGACAACAGACGGAAACGACUGCUAAUACCGAAUAAGUUCCAAGGACCGCAUGGCCCAUGGAAGAAAAGGUGGCCUCUACCUGUAAGCUAUCGCCUGAAGAGGGGUUUGCGUCUGAUUAGCUGGUUGGAGGGGUAACGGCCCACCAAGGCGACGAUCAGUAGCCGGUCUGAGAGGAUGAACGGCCACACUGGAACUGAGACACGGUCCAGACUCCUACGGGAGGCAGCAGUGGGGAAUCUUCCGCAAUGGGCGAAAGCCUGACGGAGCAAACGCCGCGUGAGUGAUGACGGCCCUUUCGGGUUGUAAAAACUCUGUGAUUCCGGGACGAAAAGGC
rnacentral:rRNA from 1 species